rnacentral:rRNA from 1 species
AUUGAACGCUGGCGGCAUGCUUUACACAUGCAAGUCGAACGGUAACAGGCCGCAAGGUGCUGACGAGUGGCGAACGGGUGAGUAAUGCAUCGGAACGUGCCCAGUCGUGGGGGAUAACGCAGCGAAAGCUGUGCUAAUACCGCAUACGAUCUAUGGAUGAAAGCGGGGGACCGUAAGGCCUCGCGCGAUUGGAGCGGCCGAUGUCAGAUUAGGUAGUUGGUGGGGUAAAGGCCUACCAAGCCAACGAUCUGUAGCUGGUCUGAGAGGACGACCAGCCACACUGGGACUGAGACACGGCCCAGACUCCUACGGGAGGCAGCAGUGGGGAAUUUUGGACAAUGGGCGCAAGCCUGAUCCAGCAAUGCCGCGUGCAGGAAGAAGGCCUUCGGGUUGUAAACUGCUUUUGUACGGAACGAAACGGUCUGGGUUAAUACCCCGGGCUAAUGACGGUACCGUAAGAAUAAGCACCGGCUAACUACGUGCCAGCCGCCGCCGUAAGAC